rnacentral:piRNA from 1 species
UAUAUCUAGAGGUUGGACUGGUUGUGACU